AUGAAAGGAAAAGACGGAGCUCCAGGAAACAAAGGAGACUCAGGAAACCCAGGUAUCCCAGGUAUCAGAGGGGAGCCAGGACUAAAAGGACAGAGAGGACUGAGAGGAGAUCCAGGUGACCGGGGUCGUGAUAACAAUGUCCCAGGACCGAAAGGAGAACCUGGCAACCAGGGUUUACAGGUAAGUACCAUGUGACAUUUAAAGAGAUUAUACAGUGGCUUUAAACAGGAAUUCAGUUAUUAAUGACCUGAACACAUGUAGACAAACUGAAAUGAUGUUUUAGAUAAA
rnacentral:lncRNA from 1 species